rnacentral:lncRNA from 1 species
GCUAUGCUACAAUAUUAAGUAUAUGAACUGCGAGUAAAUCAACUGAAGACAAGAAGAACUACAACCGGCAACAGGAAGUGCGUCACGACGCUGGGAUCAGCCUACACGCCGACGACAGGAGGAGCAAGUUUAAACCACGCUCCUCCUCUCUCGGACAGGCCAGCAUUGAGCAGGAACUAUCUCUGUUAGAGUAUAAAAGAGAGAACAAUAGGAUGUGUCGCUCUCUUCUCUGUUUUGCCCUGCGAGGUGAAUCACACAUUCCACACAUGCAAAGACAGCCACAGGAAAUGGAAUCCUGGAUUCUUCAAGCAGCUGAUUGGUCGGCCCCAUCGACGAUUGGAGCUCUGAACCCUCCCUCUCGUCAGGGGAAACGGCUG